rnacentral:rRNA from 1 species
UACGAAGGGGGCGAGCGUUGUUCGGAAUUACUGGGCGUAAAGGGCGCGCAGGCGGCCUUUGAAGUCAGGCGUGAAAGCCCCGGGCUCAACCUGGGAAUUGCGUUUGAUACUCGAAGGCUGGAGUUCGGGAGAGGAGAGUGGAAUUCCCAGUGUAGAGGUGAAAUUCGUAGAUAUUGGGAAGAACACCGGUGGCGAAGGCGGCUCUCUGGACCGAAACUGACGCUGAGGCGCGAAAGCGUGGGGAGCAAACAGG